UGCGCUCAGUGGACAUGAUGCUCCGCCGCCCAUAUAUCCCGCUAUGUAUAUCCUGUGUGCGCUCUAGUUCCGUUGGGACCCUGAAGAGUAAGCACACUAAACCAUGCAUUAUACAUGACC
rnacentral:snoRNA from 17 species